GAUGAACGCUGGCGGCGUGCUUAACACAUGCAAGUCGAGCGGUAAGGCCCUUUCGGGGGUACACGAGCGGCGAACGGGUGAGUAACACGUGGGUGACCUGCCCUCAGCUCUGGGAUAAGCCUGGGAAACCGGGUCUAAUACUGGAUAUGACUCCAUGACGCAUGUUGUGGGGUGGAAAGCCUUGUGCGGCUGAGGAUGGGCCCGCGGCCUAUCAGCUUGUUGGUGGGGUGAUGGCCUACCAAGGCGACGACGGGUAGCCGGCCUGAGAGGGCGACCGGCCACACUGGGACUGAGACACGGCCCAGACUCCUACGGGAGGCAGCAGUGGGGAAUCUUGCGCAAUGGGCGAAAGCCUGACGCAGCGACGCCGCGUGAGGGAUGACGGCCUCGGUUGUAA
rnacentral:rRNA from 1 species